rnacentral:rRNA from 1 species
AACGAACGCUGGCGGCAGGCUUAACACAUGCAAGUCGAACGCCCCGCAAGGGGAGUGGCAGACGGGUGAGUAACGCGUGGGAACAUACCCUUUUCUACGGAAUAGCUCUGGGAAACUGGAAUUAAUACCGUAUACGCCCUACGGGGGAAAGAUUUAUCGGGGAAGGAUUGGCCCGCGUUGGAUUAGCUAGUUGGUGGGGUAAAGGCCUACCAAGGCGACGAUCCAUAGCUGGUCUGAGAGGAUGAUCAGCCACAUUGGGACUGAGACACGGCCCAAACUCCUGCGGGAGGCAGCAGUGGGGAAUAUUGGACAAUGGGCGCAAGCCUGAUCCAGCCAUGCCGCGUGAGUGAUGAAGGCCUUAGGGCUGUAAAGCUCUUUCACCGAUGAAGAUAAUGACGGUAGUCGGAGAGGAAGCCCCGGCUAACUUCGUGCCAGCCGCCGCAGUAAGAC